UCUUUAAACUUAAUAAUUUGUUUCUCAAACUGUUUACCAAGAGAAUAAGGCCCCAAGAAUGAUUGUGAAUCUUUGCAAAAGUGAAUGCUUAGAAUUUAAAAAAAUAAUUUAGAGUGAAUUAAAUGGGAAAUCUGUAUCAUUUUUUUUUAUCAUAACACAGUGUUAAGUUACAUGUAAUUGUUUAUUGUAAGGUUGAUUGUAAGUUUCCAUUAUAAUCAGAUCAUGAUUUAAGUAUGGCCCUGCUGAGUCUGGUUCUUAUAUCAAUACUACAACUUCCAUCAAUAUGCCAUGUAAAUAGAUACCACUUGUUAUAUGAUCAAAUAUAAGUGCCACAUUACCUGUCCUCAAGUAUUUUAUUUAUAUCUGUAUUUUGCUUUUAUCUUAAGUUAUACAGUCAAACCAAAUCUCUGUUAUUAGUACAUUUGUACUGUUUGGUAUUGCAGCCAUUAAUAUACUUUAUAUUUUGUAUCCUCAGCAUUUAUUACUAGUUAAAAUGAAUGUUUAAAUUUCGUUUGCAUUGUUAGAAAGUACAUCAAGGAAAUAGUUGACUGUGCACUGUCCUAAGGCCUUAUUAUCUGAAGUCCCCAAGCUCAUUCUCAGAUUCAGCCUAAUAUCUGUGUGUUUAUCAAAAUUUAAAGGAACAUGAUUUUAAAAAAAAAGAAAAUUUUUUGCAGAGUGGACUCUUUGAUAAUUGUAAUUGUUCACAGAAAUGGAAAAUCAAAUAAGCUGUUAAAAUGCUUGAUGUGCAAAUCCCUGAUGUUCAUGAAAUAAAUGUUUUAUAUAAACAAAGAACUACUGAUGAUACUCCAAUCAUACUUGUAAUACUGUGGAUUUUUUUAAUUUCGUGAAUACCAAUUUUUGUGGGAAAAGGAAAAUUUUAUUUUUCAUGGAUAUUGAUUUUGUGGUUUUUACAAAAUUCUACAUAAAGGCAUAAGACAAUUUGCACUUGGCCAAUGUUCACCUGUACCAAUGAGAUCCAUGAGAAUAGUUAUCUCAAGAAUAAUAAUAGAAUCCAAAGUAAUUAAACUCAAUUGUAAGUUGAAAAUGUGUAUUAAAGUACUUGAUCAUUUUCUGUUGGUUCAAUUUGUAUUUCAAUGGUACUACUUACCAACAGUAAUGACUUCUACAAAUUAUAAUUUUAACUGAUUAAUAGAGUGCUUUAGAAAAAAGUUAAAAAUCUUGUAAAUAUAUUGAUAACAACACUAACAAAGCAUAAGUAACUAUAUUAAGUGUCUGAUCAAUCAAUACACAUAGCUUACUAAAAUAAAUUUAUGUUUGUAUUUAAAAACGAGGGAUACAUAACAUUGCAAUGUUUAUUUAAUAAAAUCCUAAAAUUCCCCUUUGAUAAAGGUUCUAUGAUUUGCAUAAUUCAAUUCUGUCUUUAUACCCUGUUUGUAAACUUUAUUCUAGCACAGCUUGAAAUACCUUUUGUAAUUUUUAACCUGAAAGUUUAAUGAAUUCUUGUGGUGUAAUAGACUUAAGAUAUGGUGCCGUGACCAGGACUUUGUAUGCUGAUACUUACAAAUCAUCUGGGAAACUGUUAUAUUUAUGAAAUUAACACAGAAAAAAUAUAUUAUGAGUGGCUUUGUACUAAUUUCUUAUUUUGAAUAGUAUUUUGGUGCUAAAACAGAUUUGUUGCAGAUGCUUUUAUAAAGUGAUGAGUCAUAAAUGUGUUGACUACUAGUAAACAUUUGAGGAUUCUUUAUGCAGAAAUAACAAUAUAUAUAUACAAAUAGGUCAUUGAUAAUAGUGUGGGUAGUUUGUUAAAUAUGGUAUUGAUGAAUACCAAUGUGAUUAGUCAGUUAGACAAGAUAUUUAACUUUUUAAAUGACUGUAUUUUCAAAUGAAUAAGAAUGAAAAAUUUAAUAAUACACAUUAAUUGUAACAACCUUUGUUUGUCUCUUUAUUACUAAGAACUCUUGAAAUAGAUGAUUGUUACUUUUCUCAACAACAAUAUUUGUCUUUUGUUUAUACCAAAUCCUCUGACAGCAUACUGAACAUUAACUGUAAUUUUGCUAAAAUUUAAGAGGUUGCUAAUCAGACAGAUGAGGCUGACGUUAUGUGGUUUUUGAUGUUAUUAUUAUUUGUCAUUUAAAACUUCACAAAUAAAGGCCACAGUAGUAUACCUCUGUUCAAAAAUCAUAAAUCAAUGUGAGAGAAAACAAAUCAGAGUUACAAACUAAAACUGAGGAAAACACAUCAACUAUAAGAGGAAAACAAUAGAACAAAAGAAGCGCUGAACUGCAAC
rnacentral:lncRNA from 1 species